rnacentral:rRNA from 1 species
GACAUAGGGCGCGAGCGUUGUCCGGAUUUAUUGGGCGUAAAGAGCUCGUAGGCGGUUUGUCGCGUCUGCCGUGAAAGUCCGGGGCUCAACUCCGGAUCUGCGGUGGGUACGGGCAGACUAGAGUGAUGUAGGGGAGACUGGAAUUCCUGGUGUAGCGGUGAAAUGCGUAGAUAUCGGGAGGAACACCAGUGGCGAAGGCGACUACCUGGCCUGUUCUUGACGCUGAGGCGCGAAAGCUAGGGGAGCAAACGGGG